UACGGCCACGUCACAUUGAAACAUUGAUUCCCGUCCGAUCACCGAAGUUAAGCAACGUUGAGCCUGGUCAGUACCUAAAUGGAUGACCGCUUGAGAAUACCAGAGUGCUGUAA